GUGUCAGCAGCCGCGGUAAUACGAAGGGGGCUAGCGUUGUUCGGAAUUACUGGGCGUAAAGGGCGUGUAGGUGGCUCUCUAAGUCAGGUGUGAAAGGCCUGGGCUCAACCCAGGACGUGCACUUGAGACUGAAGAGCUUGAGUCCGGGAGAGGAUGGUGGAACUCCCAGUGUAGAGGUGAAAUUCGUAGAUAUUGGGAAGAACACCCGUGGCGAAGGCGGCCAUCUGGACCGGUACUGACACUAAAGCGCGACAGCGUGGGGAGCAAACAGGAUUAGAUACCCUGGUAGUCC
rnacentral:rRNA from 1 species